UGAAUACAGGACAUGGUUGAUGGAGCAAUAUCAUCAUAUGUAUGUAUGUGUCAUAAAUACGUAAGAGAAGGUAUUUUUAACCCUUAUUGAUUUUUUGAGUGUAAAUAAUAGGAAUAUGAGUCAAUACAUACCUGUGAUCAAUAGUGUCCGUAUCGAUUAAUGAGAACGAUUAGUAAACACAUAUUCACAACGAAAUUUUCUGUACGAGUUCGAGUCUGUGAGCUCGAGUCCAAGACAAGUUUUUAGUUGAGUUUAAAGAGAUUUAGUGUAAAUUAUUAACAGAGUGUUUCUACAUCUAUAGGGCGUAUUCACGCUAAGACGUCUAUGAUUUUAGAACGAACCAAUGUAAUACACCAUGUAUUGGAACUAUAUACAGGGGCGUUCAAGUAAAUCCGGACCAUCUUUAACUACAUUGUGAACAAUAAGGAAAGAAAAUAACUAAGUUAUUUCAAUUUCAAAGGGAGAGGUUGAGUGUCACCUUUAAGGAGGUUGCGCAACUUUUAAUUCAAAAUGUUGUGACGUGACUGAGAGAGUAAAGAGAAUGAAAGGCGUGGAGGAGACAUAGAGUAUGUGUAACUUGGCAGUAACUAGUCUGCCAGGAGAUUUAUAGUUACUCGCUUGGUGGUAUGUACUUUUGUAACUACUGGCAGAGUUGGAGAAGGAGGAACCUUAACCUCUGAAUCCGUAGGAGGACGUAGAAGUUCAACAGGGACUUCAUGUCCACUAGCUUACCAAUCAUUAAAUAGCUUAAAUAAAGCUAAAGAAGAGAGUUGCGCCCAAGGAGUUUCAUCUUCCAUCUGGUAGAGCUUAAUAAGGUUUCCUUCUUUGUCAAACUUCAUGAAAUUAUUUGGGUCUUUACACUUUUGAAAGACAAGGGCUUGAAUUGCACUUUCAACAUAAAACAUGUAUUUACGAUGGAGAAGACGCGGAGGAGCACCAAUUUCGAAUUGGCUUGCCGGGUUACAGCCUCAAGGAGACGCUCAGAUUUAUAAAGAACCCUUUAGCUUACAUACAAUUCGAGAAAAUUACACUUGAGCGUGAUCGACAUAUUUCCAUUCGCACACUCGAAGCAGUUGGGCGUCUUGAGGACUACCAUCUAAGCUCUAAGUCUGAAACGUUGGAGUGGAAAAAGGGCUCUGUCAAAAAGGCCGAACUGGACACGGAGGAGUUAAAGAAAACAGCCAAGACCAAUACCCUUAAGUCCAUGAUGACCCAUGGAAGAGAUCUCCUGGUGGAGAGGCCAGUUUUGGACCAGCAAUGAUGAAACCCAUCUCCUCCCUUGCAAGACUCUUUUUAGGCUGAUAUGCAGUCCUGAACUGGACCGGAGUGACACUGAACUGGACCGGACGAUACCGAACUGGACCGAAGGGAUACUGAACUGGACCGGAGUGAGACUGAACUCGAGAGAACUCGACAGAACUGCAGUCUUCAUUCCUAAAGAAGGACUGGUACAACAUUUUAUGAACCAAAUGAAGACAUUUUUGAUCUAGGACAUUACAAUGUAGUCAAUAUAUAUCUCUCAGUCGUUUAACAUGUAGUAUCGAGCAUGUAUACAAGGUAGUAGUACACUGUUUAUAGUACUCCCUGAUGUAUAUUAUAUACAUAUUUUUGA
rnacentral:lncRNA from 1 species